CCCACUGAAAUAAGUAUUGAGAUAAUUGUAGAUUCACACGGAGUUUUAAGAAACAGAUUCUGGAAGUCUCUGUUGUGACUCAGCAGUAACAAACCUGACUAGAUCCAUGAGGACAUGGAUUCAAUCCCUGGCCUCGCUCAGUGGGUUAAGGACCUGGCGUUGCUAUGAACUCUGGUGUAGGUCGCAGACGUGGCUCAAAUCCCUUGCAGCUGGGGCUGUGGUGUUAGGCCAGCAGCUACAGCUGGGAUUUGACCCCUAGCCUGGGAACUUCCACACGCUGCAGGUGAAGGGGAUUCUGUGUAUAUUUUAUCCAAUUUCUCCCAAUUGUAACAUCUUGCAAAACUAAAAUUUCACAACCAUGACAGUGACACGGAUACAAUCUAUCUCAGAUUCCCCUCAGAUUCCCCAGGUUUCCUUAUACCUCAUUUGUCUCUGUGUGUCAUUAGUUCUAUACACUUUAUUACUUGAGUAGGUCCAUGUAGCCAAUCCCACAACCAAGUUACUCCAUCACAAGGAUGUGCUGCUUUUAAAACCAUACCUACCUCUUCCCCCAUUCCCAUUCCUAACCCCCAGCAACUAUCAAUCUGUUCUCCAUUUCCAUAAUUUUUUCAUUUCAGUGUAUAUAUAAAUGGAAUUAUAUAUCUUAGGUAGUUUUGGGGGAUUGGAUUUUUUCACUCAGCAUAAUUCCCUUGAAAUUCAUCCAAGUUUUCACACGAAUCAAGUCUGUUCCUUCUGACUGCUGACUAGUAACCCAUGGGGUGGAUGGACCACAGUUUAAUCAUUCACCUCCUGAAGGACACUGGCAUAGUUUCCAAUCUGGGGCUGUUAACGAACAAAGCUGCCAUGAACAUUCUUGUGCUCCUCUCUUUUUGAUCAUGAAUUGAUACAGAUGCUCUUACUUCACUGAUAUCUCUGUUCCUGCUGCUGCCAACAAGAGUUGUCGUCACACCAUUCUUUCUAUGCCAACUCCUAGUGGCUGUGGAUAAUCUGCCCAGAUGCUCCCCUACAGAUACUUAUCACUAGACAGGCACCUUCAAGCAUUUCCCCUAAAGGAAAUAAAACAGAACAAACAUGGGUUUGGGAGCCUGACGACCUGGGCUCUGCCAUUUGUAGUGGUGAAGUCUCACACGAGUCACUCAACUCUGAAUCUGUUUCGUAAUCAUAUUAACAUGGCUGACAGUUAAGGUUUCUUUUUCAGCAUCUCGUGGUGGCAGUGUAAGGUAAUGGUUAAAAGCAGGAACUCUGCUACCAAACUGCCUGGGGUUGAAUCCCAACUCUACCACUUCUUGGGUAUGUAACCUCAGGCCAGUUAUUUAACCUCCCCAUGCCUGUUUUUCCAUCUGUAAAUAGGUAUGCUAACAGUUCCUACCACAUGAGGAUUAAGUUAACACACCUUCGUGUUUAGAACAGCUCCUGGCACAUAGUAUUUACUAAGCAUUAGCUCCCAUUGCUAUGUGGCAGGCACUAUUUUAAGUAGUUACACAUAUUAUUUUAUUUAAUCCUAUCAAUGACUUUAUAAUGCAAGUGCUAUUAUGCAAUCGAUUUUACAGAUGACAAAAUUGCAAUUUAAGGGAUUAAGUCACUUGCCCGUGAUCACAGGGCUGGAAAACGAGGGAGCUGAGAUUCAAUUUUGAGUCUCUCUUUGCUCCUCACUUCUAUACCAUCCUGCAGGUCCAUGAACUGGGGGUGGCAGUGCCCUGCCAGGCAAAGAAGUUAUGAGGAUUUACAAAGAAGUGUCUUCCAUGGUGCCUGGUAUUCAACCUGCUCCAAGUGUGUUAGUGUACCUUUUAACUACUGUUGGUUGAUGAGCAAUAGAUCAUUCUGCAGUUCAGAGCAGAAAUUGGCCUCUUAAGACACAAACCACCAAAACAGAAGUAACAAUUUGAGGAUUUUGACAGAUGAAUCUGCAAACCUUCCCAAAGCUGACCAGCCCCAACAGUCACAAUCAGAUUUGGGACAAGUCCAUCCAACUCAGUCAUAAUCCAUUACAACAGAGCAGCUACCUCACUUCCUUUUUUGGAAGCUACCACGCAGAGACUGCUCAGACAGAGGCACCAGUACGAGCUCUGCCAGAACAGAAGCCACGCAUUCCUGCACUCUUUCCCCAGCUCUUACCCCAGCAUCUGGGAUAGCCUCUCAGUAAAGGUGUGCAGAACCCAUGGAGGCUCUGGUGUAACAGAGGGGCUGCGCCAGGAUCCAGAGACCUGGGUCUGGUUCUCCACUGAGCCUCCUCAACCACGUCACUUCAAGGGUCACAUCCUCUAAUGAGGCCUCAAUGACCCCAAAUGUGAAAUGAGGGGUUUCCACGUUACACACUUGAGUCCCAGCUCCAUAUUCUCUACUAGCAGCAAAGCACUAAAUACUUUUCUCUCUUUUCUUUUUUCCUUCUCCCCCUCUAUUUCCUUCCUUCUUUCUUUUAGUCAGACAACAAAUAUUUCCUGCCAUGUGCCAAAUUCUAUGCCAGAAACCAGGGACUCAAUGUGAGCAAGAUAAAUACGGAAAAAAAGGUACUUAAGUGUUUGAUUUACUUAAUGCUCUAAACGCAUAAGAAUAUUCAAUUUGUACUUUGAAACUUUUAACACAUAUGCCAACCACGCAGUUCUCAUUAUUGUCAAUGAUAUGUGUGGAAGGAAGUAAAGGAAAAUCAGGCUGCACUCAACACUUAAGAGAAGCCCUUCAGUUCUGACAUAAACAACUAUAAUUAUGUAGACAAUUCAGGCUUAAACAGGCUUGGGCUGAAAUUGCCAAGUCAGUGCACCAGUUACCCAAGUGAGACUGGCUGGUAGAAACACUAUGACAAACAACUCCCAUUCCAGCUUUAAAAAACUGCUGUACAGUAGAAAAUUCACAGAAUACUGUAAACCAACUAUAACGGAAAAAAUAAAAAUUAUAAAAAUAAAAAUUAAAAAUUCACCAUACUGGUGCACACACUGUUGAGCUGGGAAAAUGAUUUCCUCUUUAGAACUAGCUUAAGAGCAUAGCAAUGGGGGAGUUCUCCUUGUGGCUCAGGGGAGGUGAGCCCAGCUAGCAUCCACAAGGACAAGGCUUUGAUCCCUGGCCCCCACUCAGUGGGUUAACGGAUCCGGUGUUGCUGUGAGCUGUGGAGUAUGUAGCUCAUAGCUUAGGCGCAGAUCUGGUGUUGCUGCGGCUGUGGCGUAGGCCAGCAGCUGUAGCUCUGAUUCAACCCCUAGCCUGGGAACUUCCAUAUGCCACAAGUGCUGCCCUAAAAAAAAAAAAAAAAAAAAA
rnacentral:lncRNA from 1 species